GGCAGUUCAGUUUAAGGUUCAGGGGAACUGAAACCGGAUCAUGGGGCCCUGCUCAAUUCCAGUUCGGUCUUAUUUUGAUCAAAUCCAAUGUUUGAAACUUUAUUAAAUUAAAAAAAAAUCCGGUUUUGACUCAGAACUGGCUGGUUCAGUCUAGCUCAAAGAUGGUAUUGACCGGUCUGGUUCCAGACCAUGGCCUGGUCUACAUAACCAAGUUUUACUGCCAUUUUAGUCACAAUUUGAAACUAAGAAUGGCAACAGGGUAAUUGGUAUGUCAACGAGGAAGCAGUUUGUGAUGAGGAAUCUAAAUUGGGCUCUCAUAUCUAAAGUGUCAUUGAUGAUACGGGAACCCCAUACAAGGAUGAUGGUGGGCAAAUACAUUUGCAGCCUGCUGCAUGGCCCUUUCUAGUAAUAUUGCCUAAAUGCUUAAACUUGACAAUGAAAAAUCAACUUGUUCAACAUGAUUAAUCACCACACGAAAGUGGAUGCAAGAAGAUAAAAUAUUUGAAGCGCAAUGCUGGGUAGUAAAUAUCAAGAAUCAACAUACCUGGCUCUAUGUUCA
rnacentral:misc_RNA from 1 species